CCUUCAGAUAUGUUUCAAACAUCAGCCUAAUCAAACGUGUGUGCAAUAUUUAUAAAUACUCUUCGCAAUCAUGGAAAACGACGAAGAGAAAAAGGAUAAACCUAAUCCGUUUAAAAAUGAUCAAUGGAAAAGAGCAGCAAUAUACACAAGAGCUGUAAAUGCAUUUCGAGAUACAAUAUCGAUCAAUAGUGAAGCUGCAUCGGAAUUCGAUACAAGAAAACAGAUUAAAUAUGGUACAAAAUAUCAAGCUGCAUGGGGAAUUAUUACGGAAUAUUGUGAUAAUAGUACGAUUCAUGGCAUCAGAUAUAUGGGCGAAAUGAAACGCCCAAUACUUGAAAGCUAAGUCGGACAUAAAGCUUAAAACAACGCCAAUGCUAUUAUCAGAAUGAACCGCAGUUGAUGUAUUUCACAGUCUACACUCUACACUCAGGCCAAUUGUGAAUUGGAAUGGGUGAAUAAUGCUACCCCAUUAGAAUGUGGAUGUAUAAAAAUUGGAAUGUCAAGAAAUACUACUCAUCGCGUUUGUGGAUACGAAAGUGAUUAUUGCGUUGACCUUAUUACAGCUUACAGUAGCACUAUGGCAUUUAGAAAAGAAAAAAAUAUGGAAUUGGAGCAUAUUUGUAAAGAUAGAGGUUCUUGUAAAACUUUUUGUCUACCAACAUGCUUCAGCAUUGAGUAUAAUGCAGAAAUUAAACAUCAAAAUGAAAUAGAUUAUGCUCAGGUAUUGAAAACUAAUGUAGACCCUUACUCCAAUUUUACGUACAAUUAUUCAAAAACUCGAAUAAGUCAAGUAAGAAUUCACUUCAAUGACCAUCAAUUCAAUGGUUUAAAACGGUCCGAAUUGUAUAGCACAACAGAUUUAAUUGCAAAUUGUGGAGGUUUAAUGGGACUUUUUAUGGGUGUUUCGAUUUUGAGUAUGGUGGAAUUUGUAUACUUUUUUACAUUGAGAUUAUUGACGAAUUGGAAAAAUACUACCAAAAUACAAGAGAAUAAAAGCAAUGGAAAUAAUGCUUUUUGGACCCGUUCCGUUCACCACCCAAAGAUUUUUAAAAUCCAUCAGUCGAAACCGAAUUCAAGUAUUCGAUUUAGGAAACGAAAAUCUAUCAAUAGGUAUUGAGUUUUGAUUAUGCGAGUAUUAAUGCUGGGUAACAGAACUGGGUUUUCAGAACAAUUUUAAGAAAUACUCUAUGAAAAAAAAAACAUUUUUUUUAUUGGAUUUAUAAUUGCAUGGACAUUUUAUAAAAGACAUCAACAAACUGGGCUUAAAUUACUGAAUUUUCUUAUUUUAUCUUAAUAUUUUAAGCGCAC